rnacentral:rRNA from 1 species
GAUGAACGCUGGCGGCGUGCCUAAUACAUGCAAGUCGAGCGAACAGACGAGGAGCUUGCUCCUCUGACGUUAGCGGCGGACGGGUGAGUAACACGUGGAUAACCUACCUAUAAGACUGGGAUAACUUCGGGAAACCGGAGCUAAUACCGGAUAAUAUAUUGAACCGCAUGGUUCAAUAGUGAAAGACGGUUCUGCUGUCACUUAUAGAUGGAUCCGCGCCGCAUUAGCUAGUUGGUAAGGUAACGGCUUACCAAGGCAACGAUGCGUAGCCGACCUGAGAGGGUGAUCGGCCACACUGGAACUGAGACACGGUCCAGACUCCUACGGGAGGCAGCAGUAGGGAAUCUUCCGCAAUGGGCGAAAGCCUGACGGAGCAACGCCGCGUGAGUGAUGAAGGUCUUCGGAUCGUAAAACUCUGUUAUUAGGGAAGAACAAAUGCGUAAGUAACUAUGCACGUCUUGACGGUACCUAAUCAGAAAGCCACGGCUAACUACGUG